rnacentral:rRNA from 1 species
GGCUGCAACUCGCCUGCAUGAAGUUGGAAUUGCUAGUAAUCGCGAAUCAGAAUGUCGCGGUGAAUACGUUCCCGGGCCUUGUACACACCGCCCGUCACACCAUGAGAGUCGAUAACACCCGAAGCCUGUGAGCUAACCGCAAGGGGGCAGCAGUCGAAGGUGGGGUUGGUGAUUGGGGUGAAGUCGUAACAAGGUAUC